GAUAAACGCUGGCGGCGUGCAUUAGACAUGCAAGUCGAACGAGCGACCUCGGGCUUGCCCGGGGAAGCGAGUGGCGGACGGCUGAGUAACACGUGGGUGACCUGCCCCGAAGUGGGGAAUAACUGCCCGAAAGGGUGGCUAAUACCGCAUGUGGUCACACGUUCGAUCGUGUGAGCAAAGCCGCAAGGCGCUUCGGGAGGGGCCUGCGUCCGAUUAGCUCGUUGGUGGGGUAACGGCUCACCAAGGCGACGAUCGGUAGGUGGUCUGAGAGGACGAUCACCCAGACUGGGACUGAGACACGGCCCAGACUCCUACGGGAGGCAGCAGUCGGGAAUUUUGCUCAAUGGGCGAAAGCCUGAAGCAGCAACGCCGCGUGAGGGAUGAAGGCCUUCGGGUUGUAAACCUCUUUUCUCAGGGAAGAUAGUGACGGUACCUGAGGAAUAAGCCACGGCUAACUACGUG
rnacentral:rRNA from 1 species